AGAUUGAACGCUGGCGGCAUGCCUAACACAUGCAAGUCGAACGGGAGUAGCAAUACUCUAGUGGCGGACGGGUGAGGAAUACGUAGGAAUUUGCCCUUAAGUGGGGGAUAACCCGGGGAAACCCGGAUUAAAUACCGCAUGACCUCGAAAGAGCAAAGUGGGGGAUCGCAAGACCUCACGCUUUUGGAGAAGCCUACGUCGGAUUAGCUAGUUGGUGAGGUAAUGGCUCACCAAGGCGACGAUCCGUAACUGGUCUGAGAGGAUGAUCAGUCACGACCGGAACUGACGA
rnacentral:rRNA from 1 species